GUGGAUUAGAUACCCUGGUAGUCCACGCCCUAAACGAUGUCUACUAGUUGUCGGGUCUUAAUUGACUUGGUAACGCAGCUAACGCGUGAAGUAGACCGCCUGGGGAGUACGGUCGCAAGAUUAAAACUCAAAGGAAUUGACGGGGACCCGCACAAGCGGUGGAUGAUGUGGAUUAAUUCGAUGCAACGCGAAAAACCUUACCUACCCUUGACAUGUCAGGAACCCUGCUGAGAGGUGGGGGUGCUCGAAAGAGAACCUGAACACAGGUGCUGCACGGUUGUCGCCAGCU
rnacentral:rRNA from 1 species